UUUAUGGAGAGUUUGAUCCUGGCUCAGGAUGAACGCUGGCGGCGUGCCUAAUACAUGCAAGUCGAGCGAACGGACGAGAAGCUUGCUUCUCUGAUGUUAGCGGCGGACGGGUGAGUAACACGUGGAUAACCUACCUAUAAGACUGGGAUAACUUCGGGAAACCGGAGCUAAUACCGGAUAAUAUUUUGAACCGCAUGGUUCAAAAGUGAAAGACGGUCUUGCUGUCACUUAUAGAUGGAUCCGCGCUGCAUUAGCUAGUUGGUAAGGUAACGGCUUACCAAGGCAACGAUGCAUAGCCGACCUGAGAGGGUGAUCGGCCACACUGGAACUGAGACACGGUCCAGACUCCUACGGGAGGCAGCAGUAGGGAAUCUUCCGCAAUGG
rnacentral:rRNA from 1 species